GAUGAACGCUGGCGGCGUGCCUAAUACAUGCAAGUCGAGCGAACAGACGAGGAGCUUGCUCCUCUGACGUUAGCGGCGGACGGGUGAGUAACACGUGGAUAACCUACCUAUAAGACUGGGAUAACUUCGGGAAACCGGAGCUAAUACCGGAUAAUAUAUUGAACCGCAUGGUUCAAUAGUGAAAGACGGUUUUGCUGUCACUUAUAGAUGGAUCCGCGCCGCAUUAGCUAGUUGGUAAGGUAACGGCUUACCAAGGCGACGAUGCGUAGCCGACCUGAGAGGGUUAUCGGCCCACCUGGAACUGAGGAACGGUCCAGACUCCUACGGGAGGCCGCAGUAGGGAAUCUUCCGGAAUGGGCCAAAGCCUGACGGAGCAACGGCGCGUGAGUGAUGAAGGUCUUCGGAUCGUAAAACUCUGUUAUUAGGGAAGAACAAAUGUGUAAGUAACUAUGCACGUCUUGACGGUACCUAAUCAGAAAGCCACGGCUAACUACGUG
rnacentral:rRNA from 1 species